rnacentral:rRNA from 1 species
UGUCCGAGUUGUAAUUUGAAGAAGGUAACUUUGGAGUUGGCUCUUGUCUAUGUUCCUUGGAACAGGACGUCACAGAGGGUGAGAAUCCCGUGCGAUGAGAUGCCCAAUUCUAUGUAAAGUGCUUUCGAAGAGUCGAGUUGUUUGGGAAUGCAGCUCUAAGUGGGUGGUAAAUUCCAUCUAAAGCUAAAUAUUGGCGAGAGACCGAUAGCGAACAAGUACAGUGAUGGAAAGAUGAAAAGAACUUUGAAAAGAGAGUGAAAAAGUACGUGAAAUUGUUGAAAGGGAAGGGCUUGAGAUCAGACUUGGUAUUUUGCGAUCCUUUCCUUCUUGGUUGGGUUCCUCGCAGCUUACUGGGCCAGCAUCGGUUUGGAUGGUAGGAUAAUGACUAAGGAAUGUGGCUCUACUUCGGUGGAGUGUUAUAGC